rnacentral:rRNA from 1 species
UACGAAGGGGGCUAGCGUUGUUCGGAAUUACUGGGCGUAAAGCGCGCGCAGGCGGUCCUUCAAGUCAGGGGUGAAAGCCCAGGGCUCAACCCUGGAAUGGCCUUUGAGACUAGAGGACUUGGGUACGGGAGAGGUGAGUGGAAUUCCGAGUGUAGAGGUGAAAUUCGUAGAUAUUCGGAAGAACACCAGUGGCGAAGGCGACUACCUGGCCUGUUCUUGACGCUGAGGCGCGAAAGCUAGGGGAGCAAACGGG